UGUGCAGAGGCGUGCAUCUAUUUAUCUCACAGGAGCUCUCUCCUUCUGAAUUCAAGGGAGAAGACAACCCUUCCAAGUGGGAGGGAAGAUUCAUGAAUGUUCUGGGUACGGAAUUCACUAGAGUCCAAUCUCUCGGAUAAUCAAUCUGCACCGUGACGAGUCGGGGAGCCGCCAUUCCCAUCCUGCCGGCUGGGACUCUGGAGUGUGUUACCUGAUGGAAAUGGAGAAAUCUAUAGGGACAAUAUGAUUCCACUUCUCUCUGUCGAAAGACGAUACCCAAACCUUCGUCUGAAAAGGCUGGGAUUUCUUGUGAUAAUUCUUCAGGCUUCAUAAUGUCUCAACCAAGAGGACUCAAUGGUCUCACAUUGUAAAUGGUGGCAUUGACUACCCAUGGGUCUCAGGAUCAACGGUCAGUUACAAAAGCUGGUGUUUGCAACCUGGUGCUUGUUUAAUUAUUGAGACUCCCAGACACAGGAAUCUUUCUCCAUGGUGGGAGCUUCUGUUCUUGAGAACACAAAUACAGCAAGGCUGUGUGCCGAGAGGGGCCGGGAGUGAGGAAUAUGGGCUGGAGACCAAAGACCUUAGCCUCAUGUUCAUCGUCAGAACAGGGAUCAUAAGAUGGAGCGGCUGCUUCCAAAUUUCAGCUGAGGCAAGAGGUAGGACCGUUGCCCUUUUCUUUCUUCUUAUUCAUAAGCCAUGGUCCUAUUUUCAAAGAUCUAAUUACACUGAGGGGACAAAAUAUAACAAAUGUCUGUCCUUUCAGGGUCCUAUAUAAGAAAAACCAUGCCAGAAAUUUAUUUUAGAUUUAAGUAUCAUUGAAAUAUUCGUUUCUCUUAAAGUGAAUUUAUUUUCUCUUACGUGACGUGAAUUUUGUAACUAAUCUUAUUUCUCAUUUCUCUUUGGCUGCUUGGAAGCUCAGGGCUGAAGUUUUAGUUCAAAAUUCAUCACUAGAGAUUCUUUUAUGAAUUUGUGUAUGUGUGUUCUACCUAUCCACUGUGCUUAGCUUCCUGUUCUAUUUAUAUCUUCCCUAACCUUUAUUUAAAAAUUUUUUCUGCAUUAUUGUAUUGUAUACAUUUGCUUAUGCUGCCUCCACUCCUGUGCAGAAUAAACUAGGGGUAUAGGUUUUAAAUAAGAAGAGAAAUGUAAGCCAAUAUCUCUAAGCCUGGAGGC
rnacentral:lncRNA from 1 species